CCUAUCACUAGUCACGUGAGAGAAGAGGCUGACCCCCAGCUCACUGCAACCUCCCUCCAGGUAGUAAUAGAGAGCAAUGAGGUCUUCCCUGAGCCUCCUCUUCUCUAAACUGAACAAUCCCAGCUCCUUCAGCCACUCCUCAUAAGGCCUGUGCUCCAGACCCCUCACCAGCUUGGUUGCCCUCCUCUGGACACGCUCCAGGGCCUCAAUGUCUUUCUUACAGUGAGGGGCCCAAAACUGGACACAGUACUCGUGGAGUGGCUGAAGGAGCUGGGAUUGUUCAGUCUAGAGAAGAGGAGGCUCAGGGGAGACCUUAUUGCUCUCUAUAACUACCUGAAGGGAGGUUGUGGUGAGCUGGGGGUCAGCCUCUUCUCCCGGGUGACUAGUGAUAGGACGAGAGGGAAUGGCUUCAAGCUGCGCCAGGGAAGAUUCAGGCUGGACGUUAGGAAAUACUACUUCUCUGAAAGGGUGGUCAGGCACUGGAAUGGGCUGCCCAGAGAGGUAGUGGAGUCACCGAGCCUGGUGGUGUUUAAAGAGCGUUUGGAUGUUGUGUUAAGGGACAUGGUUUAGCGAGAACCAUUGAUGAAGGGCAG
rnacentral:lncRNA from 1 species